rnacentral:rRNA from 1 species
UACGUAGGUGGCAAGCGUUGUCCGGAAUUAUUGGGCGUAAAGCGCGCGCAGGCGGCCUUUUAAGUCUGAUGUGAAAUCUUGCGGCUCAACCGCAAGCGGCCAUUGGAAACUGGGAGGCUUGAGUACAGAAGAGGAGAGUGGAAUUCCACGUGUAGCGGUGAAAUGCGUAGAUAUGUGGAGGAACACCAGUGGCGAAGGCGACGUCCUGGACCGGCAUUGACGCUGAGGCGCGAAAGCCAGGGGAGCAAACGGG